rnacentral:rRNA from 1 species
UGGGGGAUAUUGCACAAUGGGCGAAAGCCUGAUGCAGCGACGCCGCGUGGGGGAUGAAGGCCUUCGGGUUGUAAACUUCUUUUGCUCUGAACAAGGCAUGCUAAUGGGUGUGUUGAGUGUAGGGGUUGAUUAGCGCCGGCUAACUACGUGCCAGCAGCCGCGGUAAUACGUAGGGCGCGAGCGUUGUCCGGAAUUAUUGGGCGUAAAGGGCUUGUAGUUGGCUGGUUGCGUCUGUCGUGAAAGCUCAUGGCUUAACUGUGGGUUUGCGGUGGGUACGGGCUGGCUUGAGUGCAGUAGGGGAGGCUGGAAUUCCUGGUGUAGCGGUGGAAUGCGCAGAUAUCAGGAGGAAUACCGGUGGCGAAGGCGGGUCUCUGGGCUGUUACUGACACUGAGGAGCGAAAGCAUGGGGAGCGAACAGG